AGUGAACGCUGGCGGUAGGCCUAACACAUGCAAGUCGAACGGCAGCACAGUAAGAGCUUGCUCUUACGGGUGGCGAGUGGCGGACGGGUGAGGAAUACAUCGGAAUCUACUUUUUCGUGGGGGAUAACGUAGGGAAACUUACGCUAAUACCGCAUACGACCUACGGGUGAAAGCAGGGGAUCUUCGGACCUUGCGCGAUUGAAUGAGCCGAUGUCGGAUUAGCUAGUUGGCGGGGUAAGGCCCACCAAGGCGACGAUCCGUAGCUGGUCUGAGAGGAUGAUCAGCCACACUGGAACUGCGACACGGUCCAGACUCCUACGGGAGGCAGCAGUGGGGAAUAUUGGACAAUGGGCGCAAGCCUGAUCCAGCCAUACCGCGUGGGUGAAGAAGGCCUUCGGGUUGUAAAGCCCUUUUGUUGGGAAAGAAAAGCAGCAGGUUAAUACCCCGCUGUUCUGACGGUACCCAAAGAAUAAGCACCGGCUAACUUCGUG
rnacentral:rRNA from 1 species